rnacentral:lncRNA from 1 species
UUAGUUUGAAAAUCAAAUAAUUUAUUAUAAUGAUUAGUAGUGUAAGGCAACGUCUCCCUAACAAAAAGAAAAUAUGGUGGAAUGGAUUGGCCAUCUGAAUAUAAAAUACAUAUUGAAAAGUACGAUAGGAACUAUUUGUUUAAAUAUUGGAAUUAAGGGUUACCCUACAUCACAUUCAUCAUUGAGAAACCAAUAAAAGACAAGAAGUCAUGAGCUUUUAGGAUCAAUUGUAUUGAGUUUGAGACGCACCAGCUAUACCGAAAGAGGCAGUUUGGCUUCAAAAGAAUCCAACACUUCCUUGCAACCAAAGUAAUUGUUCAUUGUUAUCCCCUGACCAAAUUAAGUAGACCUCAGGGAUUAAUGAUUAAACAUUAUUUUUUAAAUUUGUAGCACCCCAAAUCCGGCCCAGAAGUUAUGGCCGGAUCCGGCAUGCCACAUCAAAAACGUAAAAAAAAAAUUCCAUUCUAAGUCCAGAAAAUCAUACUUGAUGUUCAAAAGAUUAACUCAUUAAAGGUUAAAGUGAAUGGAAGCUGUGCAUCAGGUAGGAAACCGGAAAAGAGGUGGUGAGUCCAUCGGACUGCUUAAGUACCAAGCUCCCUUCGGAUCCAAUCCUAGACAUGCAUACCGCCAUUGUCACACCUUAACGUCAUGAAUAUUUCUAGGAAACCAAUUUGAUUAAGUCAUUUUUAGGAAAAGUGAUUAAUUUUGGAAAAUACUUUCAUUGCGAAAGCUUUGCUUGUUGUCGUGUUAUUUUGAAAUCAAUUGUUGUUUUUGAAAACGCACCCUAAAGCUAUCCAAUUUCAACAGUUAAAAUAAGUAUUACCUAUCUUAGUAAUACAUAUUAAAACCAUAAAAAAUAAUUAAGCGGCCUUAUUGUCCAGUUCACCAGAAGAAAAUCAAACUUUCAGAACGGGUAGCCACUCCGAAUUCCCUCACAGCUCCAAGCCCACUAUGGUUGGGAUUUCCUGCGUGGAUGAAAAUAAAAGGGGUGAGUUUGGGGAAACUCAGUGUGUAAGGAAAACCCAUUCAAAGCCCAAGUCAGCUCAAGCCUAUUGGGCCUAAGCCCAUUCAGGUAACAGUGGUACUGGACCAGAGCCCUUUUCAGAUUACAAUAAACUGGGCCUUAGCCCCUUAUUCAGAUAACAAUAUGGCCCAUAGGCCCAUUUCAAAAUACAUGCAACAUCAGUAAACAUAUGCAAGCCCAUUUGGGUAACAGUGGUACUGGGCUAGAGCCCUUUUUAGAUUACAAUAAACUGGGCCUUAGCCUCUUAUUCAGAUAACAGUAUGGCCCAUAGGCCCAUUUCAAAAUACAUGCAACAUCAGUAAACAUAUGCAAGCCCAUUUGGGGAGACUACUCAACCCACCAACCACUACACUCCACCCGUACCAGCCAUACACUCCAUGUGGGGAAUAGCUCAACCCACCCAGCCCAACACUCCACAGUUGCAGCCUUGCUGCUCAGUUAACAGUAAAUUGAGGCAAAGCCUCCAGUACGUGGACAAGCCACUUUCAGUACUUCCUCCGUCAAUAUCCCAAUCCCAUGCAUCAGAUAAUAACAACAUGGCAUGCAGUAAAUAACAACAGUCAAACAUGCAUUUAGGUCAAUUUAACCCUAGGGGUAUUUCGGUAAUUUAUCUACUAGGGGUAAAACUGUAAAUUUUUUACUUUUAAAGGUAUUUCAGUAAUUUAUCUAUUUUAGGGUUUUUCAUGCAUAUUCCUACCUUUCACGUACUACAGAAUCACGUACCGAGGGUUCUUACCGAAUUGGGCCCGUUGGCCCAUCAUUCCAAUUUUGGCCCAUUAAACCCAAAAAUAUCGAGGGCACAGAAAUCAUGCACUUUGCAGUCCAAACAUUGCAGCUUACCAAAAACAUUAAUCGAUUUACCUCACGAGCAUUCGCACACUCGCAAAUCUACAAAAUACCGGUUUCCGGCAUUUCUAAUUUUCGCCUACAAUUGGAUUACUAACACGUUAAUCUAACUAUUCAAAUACAAACUACGUAUUAACCCCUUACAAUAUUCGACCAACCACACCUACAGAUCAUAGUAAGCUUAUAAGAAAACAAUAAGCAACUCAUUAACAAAUUUUUGUCAAUGUUUACCACAUAAUCAUAAUUUCACUGCAAGCUGUCUUCCUGAGCAAUAGUCACUAAAUCAUUUAUAACUGGAGCUACGAAACUCCAAAUCAAGUUCCGUUAAUUUUCCUUGAAUAUAGACUCAUAUAUCUUCUAUCCAUAAAAUUUUCAGAAUUUUUGGUUUAUCCAAUCAAUACCAUAUUUUUCUCAAAGUUUCCCAUGUUUCACUAUUUGACUAAUCUGACCAUGCUUCAUUACGAAUCAAAUUUCUCAUUGUACAGUAUUCAAAAUAUGUUCUUGUUUAUUUCAUUAGAAACUAGACUCAAUAAUAUUUAAUUACAUAAUUUAUUCAGCUUCUAAUUCAUCUCCCACAGUUUAUGGUGAUUUUCCAAAGUCACGUUACUGCUGCUGUCCCAAGCAGAUUUAUUACCAAAUCACUCUUUCAUACACCUAUCUUGCAUGCAUGUUAUUUAAACAUGUAUAUCACCAAUCAAUCAUCACAUAUCUAUGAUUUUUACUUAAGCAUAAUCUCCAUUUCAUUAUUUUAAAGCACAACAUGUUAGCCGAUUUUUCCCUUUAGCAUCUAAGGCACAUGCAUGCUCAUUUGUUUGGCUCAACUUCACAUAUCUUCCAUUUUUCAUCAAAAGAACAUGAAACAACAACCAUUUCCUUCAUUUUAAUUCAUGACCAAAUGCUCACAACACAACUAAAAAUCAAAAUAUACUUCAAGAGUUAAGGUAGAAUCAAGAAGAACUCAUGAACCUCAAAAUAGAAGCAAGGUACCAAGAACUUACCUUCAAUUUUCCUCCUCCUAAUGACCGAAUACUCAAGAGCUUUCUCCUCUCCUUUCUCUUCUCUAACUUUCAGCUAUGAUGAACAAAGAUGGACAAAACUUUGUUCUUUUCACCCCUUUUUCUUUUAAUAAAACUUCAUAUUUCAUCCAUUUAAUUCUUUAAUACAAAAGACAUGAAAUUCUUAUCAUGAAACAUUUACCUAACCCAUUAUCAUGAAACAUUUACC